GGGAUGAAGAAUGUGCAAUCUACUCUUGCCACUGCAAGGCGUCACCCAUCAAGCAAGCUUAGACCAAUGAAGCAUUGGAAUGUCACAGCAUCAGACAAUAACUUCAGAUCAAAACGAGUCGCAUGAAAUCAAAGAUGAUGUCAGUGAGUUCAGCAGAUUCGAGUUGUGAAAAUAACUGCAGCAUGGUCAAGUUACAUGGUUUUGUCUGAUGAUAGUCAGGGAGUAAACAGUUCAAGAGCUUCCACUGAAGUAGCAAUCCUGCAAAAGAUCCACGGUGAUGGUGCCAGCUUCUAGUUCCGUUACUGUCCCCACCACGGUUUCAAGAUGAGAACUAGCAUCUACCCGAUACAGUCCCCGUCCAUGGCUAACAACAUGAGCAUCGACAGCUAUAGCCAUACAUUUCUACGCCAUCCACCCUCCCCUAAUCCGCGGAGGAAAAAGGCUUUGAUAGUGCAGAACCUUAAUAUCACUACCUCAUCACACUCUCUCGUCAGUAUAAUUACUCACAAGUGUAGACUCCUCCCCGGUGGCCUUUUUCUCAAGGAAUUCUAAGCUCGGGUUGGCUUUAGCGGGGCCGACGAUGUUCAUAACGUCACCAACAGCUCCUUACACGUUCAGUUAGUCGUUGGUUCUUCCUCCACCAACCUCAGCUGUUAAUUCUUAACAACAGAAGCAACAGUCUCGCAGUACCUGCAAAAGAGAUGGUCUCCUGUCGCCAAAAACCAAUCAAAGUCUUAAGACAGUGCCCUUGAUGCCUUGGAGUCGUCGAAGCCGGAACACGUCCAGCCCGUCAACGAUAUUGUCUGCGGUUCAAGCUCGCCAGAGCAAGUGCAACAUUCCCAGCAAUUACGAUCGCCUGUGGUGGUGAUGUCAGAGCGAAGAGUAAGACACCAUAGCCGGCGGGGAACGAUGUCCUACACCUCCUGCUAGACCACGAGUUUUAGGGUACCCUGGAUAACACCCUAAAAUUCUAAAACCCUUCGAAACCCUAAAAACUGGCUCGUGUUCUGUGACGAGAUUUGUCGUCGUUCGUGGUGAAGUUUGGAUCGAGUUGGUCUGAGUUUGGGAUUUCAAUUCUUCCAGUUCCGCU
rnacentral:lncRNA from 1 species